rnacentral:rRNA from 1 species
CCCUUAGAUGUUCUGGGCCGCACGCGCGCUACACUGACGAUGGCAACGAGUUUUUCCUUCGCCGAAAGGUGUGGGUAAUCUUUUGAAACAUCGUCGUGCUGGGGAUAGAUCAUUGCAAUUUUUGAUCUUGAACGAGGAAUUCCUAGUAAGCGCGAGUCAUCAGCUCGCGUUGAUUACGUCCCUGCCCUUUGUACACACCGCCCGUCGCUACUACCGAUGGAAUGGUUUAGUGAGGACUCCUGAUUGGCGCCGCCGCCCCGGCAACGGAGCAGCGGACUGCCGAAAAGUUGUUCAAACUUGAUCAUUUAGAGGAAGUAAAAGUCGUAACA